UGAGGGUGUCAGCAGGUGACG
rnacentral:miRNA from 1 species